rnacentral:rRNA from 1 species
CUACGGGAUGCUGCAGUGGGGAAUUUUGGACAAUGGGGGAAACCCUGAUCCAGCCAUGCCGCGUGAGUGAAGAAGGCCUUCGGGUUGUAAAGCUCUUUCGGCUGGGAAGAAAUCGCACAGGCUAAUACUCUGUGUGGAUGACGGUACCAGCAUAAGAAGCACCGGCUAACUACGUGCCAGCAGCCGCGGUAAUACGUAGGGUGCGAGCGUUAAUCGGAAUUACUGGGCGUAAAGCGUGCGCAGGCGGUUGUGCAAGACAGAUGUGAAAUCCCCGGGCUCAACCUGGGAACUGCAUUUGUGACUGCACGACUAGAGUGCGGCAGAGGGGGGUAGAAUUCCACGUGUAGCAGUGAAAUGCGUAGAGAUGUGGAGGAAUACCGAUGGCGAAGGCAGCCCCCUGGGCCGAUACUGACGCUCAUGCACGAAAGCGUGGGGAGCAAACAGGAUUAGAUACCCUCGUAGUC